UGGUUUUCUGCUUCCCCACUCUGUGGUUUCGUUCUUCACUGCCCUGCUGUGGGAUCUUCAAUUUCAAAGAUUGUGGAUCCCAGGUAGCUACAUCACUAGAUGCUUCUGUUUGCUUGAAUCUCUGCGGCUAUGACACGCCUCACCUCAAAGUGUAGUGGUAUAUAAAAAGUAGAUAUUAAAGAUGAUGAAUGGCAUCACAGUCAUAUGGCAGGUACCUAAUUUAUUACAGAGAGGUUGAGGAACUCACAUUCUCGUUAAACAAUUGAUUGCAUAUCAGCAAGGUCAUUGAUUGCACUUUCUCUCUGGUUUCGUUCUUCACUGCGCUGCUGUGGAAUCUUCAAUUUCAAAGAUUGUGGUUCCUAGCUAACUACAUCACUAGAUGCUUCUGUUUGAUUGAAUCUCUGCGGCUAUGACGCGCCUCACCUCAAAGUGUAGUGGUAUAUAAAAAGUAGAUAUUAAAGAUGAUGAAUGGCAUCCCAGUCAUAUG
rnacentral:lncRNA from 1 species